rnacentral:rRNA from 1 species
UCAUGAUACUUAACGAAUCGCAUGGCCUUGCGCGGGGAUGGUUCAUUCAAAUUCUGCCCUAUCAACUUUCGAUGGUAGGAUAGUGGCCUACCAUGGUAUCAACGGGUAACGGGGAAUUAGGGUCUAUUCCGGAGAGGGAGCCUGAGAAACGGUACCACAUCCAAGGAAGGCAGCAGGCGCGCAAAUUACCCAAUCCCGACACGGGGAGGUAGUGACAAUAAAUAUUGAUACAGGGUUCCUUUUUGGGUCUUGUAAUUGGAAUGAGUACAAUUUAAAUCCCUUAAGAGGAAAAUUGGAGGGCAAGUCUGGUGCCAGCAGCCGGGGUAAUUUCCAGCUCCAAUAGCGUAUAUUAAAGUUUGUUGCAGUUAAAAAGCUCGUAAGUUGAA